UAAUGGGGACGGACUGUAAAUCCGCUGGCAAUGCCUACGCUGGUUCAAAUCCAGCUCGGCCCAA
rnacentral:tRNA from 1 species